rnacentral:rRNA from 1 species
GAUGAACGCUGGCGGCGUGCCUAAUACAUGCAAGUCGAGCGAACAGACGAGGAGCUUGCUCCUCUGACGUUAGCGGCGGACGGGUGAGUAACACGUGGAUAACCUACCUAUAAGACUGGGAUAACUUCGGGAAACCGGAGCUAAUACCGGAUAAUAUUUUGAACCGCAUGGUUCAAUAGUGAAAGACGGUCUUGCUGUCACUUAUAGAUGGAUCCGCGCUGCAUUAGCUAGUUGGUAAGGUAACGGCUUACCAAGGCAACGAUGCGUAGCCGACCUGAGAGGGUGAUCGGCCACACUGGAACUGAGACACGGUCCAGACUCCUACGGGAGGCAGCAGUAGGGAAUCUUCCGCAAUGGGCGAAAGCCUGACGGAGCAACGCCGCGUGAGUGAUGAAGGUCUUCGGAUCGUAAAACUCUGUUAUUAGGGAAGAACAAAUGUGUAAGUAACUAUGCACGUCUUGACGGUACCUAAUCAGAAAGCCACGGCUAACUACGUG